rnacentral:rRNA from 1 species
UACGUAGGGUGCAAGCGUUGCCCGGAUUUAUUGGGCGUAAAGGGCGCGUAGGCGGCUACGCACGUCCGUUGUGAAAUCUCCGGGCUUAACUCGGAACGGUCAAGUGAUACUGUCGGACUAGAGUACAGAAGGGGCAACUGGAAUUCUCGGUGUAGCGGUGAAAUGCGUAGAUAUCGAGAGGAACACCUGCGGCGAAGGCGGGUUGCUGGGCUGAUACUGACGCUGAGGCGCGAAAGCCAGGGGAGCGAACGGG